rnacentral:rRNA from 1 species
GUCGUACGAGAGUUUUUAACUCAAGUGGCGGACGGGUGAGUAACACGUAAGAAUUUGCCUUUAGGAGGGGGAUAACAACUGGAAACGGUUGCUAAUACCCCAUAUGCUUUCGAGUGAAAUGGUUUUUCCGCCUAAAGAGAAGCUUGCGGCUGAUUAGCUUGUUGGGGAGGUAAUGGCUCACCAAGGCGACGAUCAGUAUCUGGUUUGAGAGGACGAUCAGACACACUGGAACUGAGACACGGUCCAGACUCCUACGGGAGGCAGCAGUGGGGAAUUUUCCGCAAUGGGCGAAAGCCUGACGGAGCAAUACCGCGUGAGGGAUGACGGCCUAUGGGUUGUAAACCUCUUUUUUCAGGGAGGAAUAAAUGACGUGUACCUGAGGAAUAAGCAUCGGCUAACUCCGUGCCAGCAGCCGCGGUAAUAC